GCCUCAAUAGUAUAGUGGUUAGUACACGGCCCUGUCGCGGCCGAGAUCCGGGUUCAAUCCCCGGUUGGGGCG
rnacentral:tRNA from 1 species